AUGCAGUCGAGCGGACAGAUGGGAGCUUGCUCCCUGAUGUUAGCGGCGGACGGGUGAGUAACACGUGGGUAACCUGCCUGUAAGACUGGGAUAACUCCGGGAAACCGGGGCUAAUACCGGAUGGUUGUUUGAACCGCAUGGUUCAAACAUAAAAGGUGGCUUCGGCUACCACUUACAGAUGGACCCGCGGCGCAUUAGCUAGUUGGUGAGGUAACGGCUCACCAAGGCAACGAUGCGUAGCCGACCUGAGAGGGUGAUCGGCCACACUGGGACUGAGACACGGCCCAGACUCCUACGGGAGGCAGCAGUAGGGAAUCUUCCGCAAUGGACGAAAGUCUGACGGAGCAACGCCGCGUGAGUGAUGAAGGUUUUCGGAUCGUAAAGCUCUGUUGUUAGGGAAGAACAAGUACCGUUCGAAUAGGGCGGUACCUUGACGGUACCUAACCAGAAAGCCACGGCUAACUACGUGCCAGCAGCCGCGGUAAUACGUAGGUGGCAAGCGUUGUCCGGAAUUAUUGGGCGUAAAGGGCUCGCAGGCGGUUUCUUAAGUCUGAUGUGAAAGCCCCCGGCUCAACCGGGGAGGGUCAUUGGAAACUGGGGAACUUGAGUGCAGAAGAGGAGAGUGGAAUUCCACGUGUAGCGGUGAAAUGCGUAGAGAUGUGGAGGAACACCAGUGGCGAAGGCGACUCUCUGGUCUGUAACUGACGCUGAGGAGCGAAAGCGUGGGGAGCGAACAGGAUUAGAUACCCUGGUAGUCCACGCCGUAAACGAUGAGUGCUAAGUGUUAGGGGGUUUCCGCCCCUUAGUGCUGCAGCUAACGCAUUAAGCACUCCGCCUGGGGAGUACGGUCGCAAGACUGAAACUCAAAGGAAUUGACGGGGGCCCGCACAAGCGGUG
rnacentral:rRNA from 1 species